AGGUGGAUCUCUAGGGUAGUGCUGCCUAAUAUGGUAACCACUGGCCACAUGCUGUUUAAAUAUGAAUUAAUAUUUAAAAAGCCGGGCGUGGUGGCGCACGCCUUUAAUCCCAGCACUCGAGAGGCAGAGGCAGGCGGAUUUCUGAGUUCAAGGCCAGCCUGGUCUACAAAGUGAGUUCCAGGACAGCCAGGGCUAUACAGAAAAACCCUGUCUCGAAAAACCAAAAAAAAAAAAAAAAAAAAAAAAAAAAAAAAAGAAUUAAAAUUUAAGUAAAGACUCAGUUCUUCAGUCAUCCUACCUUGAGUGCCCUAGUAGCUCAUAUGUGGCUAGAGACUUCUGAACAGCAGGGGGCAGGGGUUAGCAAAGUCAUUCCAAUUCCAUAAGGGUCAGACAGCAAAUGGCUUUGGUUUUAUAAACCAUUCAGCUGUGCUGUGGUACUGCAAAUACACCCAUAGAUAAUGUGAGCAAGAAAGCUUGGCUACAGCCAGGGAAACUGUUUGUAGACACUUUUUUGAGACAGUCUGUGUAACCCAGUUCAAGCCCAGGCCUAGCCUUAAGUUUUAGAUCUCUAGCGUCAAGCUCCCAAGUGCUGGAGUCUGUACCACCACACCAGAUUCUUAUAACUUUUGUGUUGUAAAAUAUCUUCUUUUAUUUAAAUAUUGUUAAAAUGUAAAAAUUAGUUUUUAACUUACAGGAUUUACCAAAACGUGGUAGUGAAUCUGAUUUGUUCUUUGGGCUACUAGUUUGCCAAUUCUUGCUCUCGAGAUACAAGAAGUCAAAACUUGAGAUUCUCUUACUGUCUUAUACAUUAGAUCCUUGUCUUUAGUCAGAGUCAGCUAACUGUGAUUAAAAGCUAAGUAGAACUGUUUCCUUGUCCCCUAACUGUUUUAGUCUAGUGCUACAAUGUUUAACCCUUCAUUAAAUCACAGAGAUAUGGAACACU
rnacentral:lncRNA from 1 species